AUGCUGGUGACGCCCAAGAUGGCUUCCAAGGCCGAGUCGCCCGUCUCCUGCUCCGCGCCGACCCCGCCCAAGCCCUCGCCGGUGGGCGCCGACGAGAUGCGCGCCGUCGCGCGCAAGUUCGCCGACCAGCCCGUGCAGAACCCGGAGCCCGGCGUCUGGGCCGUCCUCACCGCCAUCUCCAAGAAGGCCCGCCUCCGCUCCGAGGGGAUGAACAUUCUUUUGAGUGCUGACGAGCACAUUCUAGGCCGCACGGUCGAGAACCCUCGCUUCAGGAUUUCUGCUGUGUCAGUCAGCGGGAAUCAUUGCAAGAUAUAUAAGGACACUGUGAUAGGGGAGCUGCAGCGCGAUGAGCCUGUGCCUGUUUACCUCAAGGACUCGAGCACGAAUGGCACAUACGUCAACUGGAAUAAGUUUAUGAAACGUUCACCUCCGACCAAGCUUAAUCAUGGGGACAUCAUAUCAUUUACCACACCUCCUCAUCACGAUGCCUCCUAUGCAUUUGUCUAUCGGGAAGUUAAUGCAGUCAGCUGCGUAGGGAAUGGUACUACCAUACUUAAAAGAAAAUCAGGGGAGAUGGGUUCUGAAAGCAAGAGGCUAAAGGGUCUGGGCAUUGGUUCAUCUGAUGGUCCUGUUUCACUAGAUGAUGUUCGAAGACUAGAAAAAUCUAAUGCAGAGCUCAGGGAACAACUCGAGGCACAUGUUGUGACAAUUGAGACAUUGAGAACUGCAAGCAAAACAGCUGAAGAGCAGCAUGAAAAGGAACUGAAGGAGUUCAAAGAAACUACAUCAAGUUCUUAUCUCGAGCAAACUAAAUCUCUUCAGCUAGCACUAGAGGGGAAACAGAAACAACUAGAUACUCUUAGUACAUUAAAUACAGAGUUACAGAAUUCCAUAAAAGAUCUGGAUGAGAGGCUUAGUGCAUCAAAGCAAUCACGUGCUGAUGCUGAUGAGAUAAUUCAAAGCCAGAAGGCAAAUAUAUGCGAGCUUGAGGAACAGCUAAGUGAGGAGAGAAACUUAAGAAUAGAGGAGCGUGAUAAGGCUGCAGAAGACCUUAAAUCUGCACUGCAUAAAGUACAAGCAGAGGCUCAAGACGAAAUGAAGAGACAGACAGAGGCUUACCUUAAACAACAAAAGGAACAGAAAGAGUUUAUCAUCAAGCUUCAGGAAUCGGAAAAAGACACCCGUUUGCUCGUGGAAACAUUAAGGUCCAAGCUGGAAGACUCUCGUGAAAGCCUUGUAACAUCUGAGAAAAAAGUGCGAGAACUGGAGACUCAACUCCAGGAUGAGCAGCUUGUGUCUGCUAAAAGUCAGAAGAAAUCUGAUAAUCUGGAAACUGAACUGCGAAAGCUCAAGAAAGAACUUGAAAAUGAGAAGCAGGCUGCUCGGGAAGAAGCAUGGGCAAAGGUCUCAUCUCUUGAACUUGAAGUAGCUGCUACAAUGAGAGAUCUAUCAAUUGAAAAGCGUAGGUAUCAAGGGGCCAGAGAAAGAGUUAUUUUACGAGAGACCCAACUGCGUGCUUUCUAUUCAACCACGGAAGAGAUCUCUUCUCUAUUUGCAAAACAGCAGGAACAGCUUAAGGCUAUGCAGAGAACUUUAGAGGACGAAGAGAACUAUGAGAGCACCUUGCUGGGUCUUGAUCUCAAUGAAGUACCAGUAGCAAAUGUGAACACCGAUAAUGCCCGUGUAAAGCCAGCAGACUACGCAAACGAUACGUUGGAAGCUUCGGGUGCUUCAGCAGAGAAUACCCAAGCAAGCGAACAUAGUUCCACCGAUGAGGAUGCUGAUAUGACCGAGCAGCAGGAUGGUGGUACCAGAAUUGAAGGGGGCACUCAAGACUUAGAGUGCACUAGUCCAGAUAGGACAGUAGAGAAAAUCGGAUCUGAUUCUCAUGGUGAUCAUACUGCUACAGCUCCUGAGCAAGAGACCGAGCAAGUUUUGGAGACAGAAAGCCAAAUUGGCAAUGUUGGCUGCAAUGAUCAUAAUUCCAUUAACAGCGUUAUGGGGGGAGAGACUUUGCAGCUAGAGGAUGAAAUGCAGGCACAACAAGAAACCGAGGAAUCUAACUUGAUUCCAAAAGAUGGAGGGCUGCCACUAGUUAAUGAGGAACAACAACCCCUAACCCUCAAAGAUGGCAUUGGUCAGUGUUCUGAAGGGAAACGUGAGGGCGACUGCUCUGCGAGCAAACCUGACGACACGCAGGAUGGAACUAUUCGCACAGCUGAUCUGUUGGCCUCAGAAGUUGCCGGUAGCUGGGCAGUGGAAACAGGACCAUCUGUCAAUGGGGAGAAUGAGUCUCCGUGCUGCUCGGAAGACGUGGGUGGUGACCCCUCUGAAGGACACGAUGAUGACGCAGGAGAAAGAACAGCAGCUGAUGCUCUGACCAGUUUGGUUAACUCUGAUGGCCACUCAGCUGGUAGCCAGACUAAUGCCGAUGGUCGUCGAGCUAUUAAUCAUAUGAUUGGACUUCUUGAUCCUGAAAAGAAGCUCCCAGGAAACUUUGUUGAAGAUAGCGAGUCUGAUGCUGAGACUCGGGACGGUAGUGAGGCCGGGGAUGCAGAUAUUGACAGUGAAGCCAUGGUUGAGGACUCUGUGGGUUAG
rnacentral:rRNA from 1 species